GGGUAUGGCGAAAUUGGUAGACGCUGCGGACUUAAAAAUCCGUUGGCUUUAAUAGACCUUGAGGGUUCAAGUCCCUCUACCCCCAU
rnacentral:tRNA from 1 species